UUAUAAGUGCUGGUGGACUCCUCAGAAUGAAAACGACACUCUUUCAGAGAGGAGCUUCUUGAAGACAUCCACUUUUAAGGCCAUUGUAACUGUUAUCAUUGCGGGUUGCUGCUGAGGAAGACCACGAAUUAUCUGUAAUGCAGCUACACGGACUGCUCUGGUAACACAGGAAUGUUGUUUGUUGAUGCAUAUACCACAAUGCGAACGCUGAAAGAUGCUAAAAUUUCCGGUCACGCUCAAAUUAUUUUUCUCUCGGCAGGCUGCGGAGAGUGUCAUGGAUUCUUUCAAGUGAGAAUGAUGCAAUUUCAGAGAAGGAGCUUAUUGAAGACUAUCCACUUUAGAGGCCCCUCUCCGAAUAUAUAAUGGGUGUUUGCCUCUUCCUCCAGUUUCGUCAUAUUCCGUCGCGGUAUCUAGAUCUUGUACAUUAUAUGAUUUAGAUCAUUUCAACAAUAUUGAUUGGAGAGAAUCCUAUAAAACUGUAUUAUUUUUGUAGUCAUCACAUGUAAGCAUCCCUUAAUUAUAAUCUGAAAGUCCUUAAUGUGCAAA